CUCCUAUAUAUAUUAAGUUUCAUUUAUAAAGACAUCAGAGAGCACCUGAGAAUGUUUCAAGGUCACCAAAAGCUUUCUGAAAAUGCCUUUCUGCAAAGAAGGUUUCCAGGGAGAGUGUUAAUUGGAUUGGAAGGAAGACACUGAUGAGCUGCUGGGAGUGAGAGUGAGACCCUCGAGGAGUCCACAGUGCAUUUUAAGGAGUGUAGCUCUGAUGAACUGCAAGGCCUUUGUUUUGCUGUGUGGGGGCC
rnacentral:lncRNA from 1 species